rnacentral:rRNA from 1 species
UACGAAGGGGGCUAGCGUUGUUCGGAAUUACUGGGCGUAAAGCGCGCGCAGGCGGUCUUCCAAGUCAGUGGUGAAAGCCCGGAGCUCAACUCCGGAACUGCCAUUGAAACUGUUAGACUCGAGGAUGAGAGAGGUGAGUGGAAUUCCCAGUGUAGAGGUGAAAUUCGUAGAUAUUGGGAAGAACACCGGUGGCGAAGGCGGCUCACUGGCUCAUUACUGACGCUCAGGCGCGAUAGCGUGGGGAUCAAACAGG